GACGAGCGCUGGCGGCGUGCUUAACACAUGCAAGUCGAACGGAAAGGCCCUGCUUUUGUGGGGUGCUCGAGUGGCGAACGGGUGAGUAACACGUGAGUAACCUGCCCUUGACUUUGGGAUAACUUCAGGAAACUGGGGCUAAUACCGGAUAGGAGCUCCUGCUGCAUGUUGGGGGUUGGAAAGUUUCGGCGGUUGGGGAUGGACUCGCGGCUUAUCAGCUUGUUGGUGGGGUAGUGGCUUACCAAGGCUUUGACGGGUAGCCGGCCUGAGAGGGUGACCGGCCACAUUGGGACUGAGAUACGGCCCAGACUCCUACGGGAGGCAGCAGUGGGGAAUAUUGCACAAUGGGCGGAAGCCUGAUGCAGCAACGCCGCGUGCGGGAUGACGGCCUUCGGGUUGUAAACCGCUUUCGCCUGUGACGAAGCGUGAGUGACGGUAAUGGGUAAAGAAGCACCGGCUAACUACGUG
rnacentral:rRNA from 1 species